CAUGGUUCAAAUCCGAUUGUGCCCU
rnacentral:tRNA from 1 species